rnacentral:misc_RNA from 1 species
UAAUGUAUGGUGAUGCAUCGCGUCGUUAUGUAGAUACAAAGUUAAAGACGAGAGUGCUUCCCAUAGACGUUGGAUAAUGGCGACCUCGUCAUGCGUGAAACGAACUGUACUAAUACCACGUGAAAAUGCAACGCGAUUUAUGGGUCGAGUGGAGCGAAGAGAGCGGCGACAAGGACAUGUGCACAGUCGAACUUUACGCGGACGUACUUUGCCCGCGUUACGAAACAACGCUGUUGUUAUUCCGACAUACCUCGAUGACGGCAAUUUUACGAUUAGAUUUGGAAAUACGACAAAGCAGAGCGAUUCGAAUAUUAGAAGGAAGAAAUUCCCUUUCGCUGCGAGGGAACUGGAAAUGACGAGACACGUCAAACCGCGGACUGUCAGCCAGUCAAACUGCGUGGGCCUCUGCGGGACCGGUCGAGGUAACGGAUAAUGCGGCUUACCGCAAUGUCAAAACUUUUAAAUGAAUACCGACAAGACAGGCAUAGAGCGAUGGAAAAUUGGAGGAUAUUCGAAGGCUGGAUAUCCAACCUAAUGACGCAACGAUAACAAGAUCAAUUUGAAUUUCUUCCGGAUAAUAGAUAAGUUCGAAUAGUAGGUUGGACAUGUAAAUCUCCUCGCUAUCGAUAUUCCAUGAAACGGAUAUUAAGUUAAUCAUCCGACCGACGCUGUUCUAAUCGAAUUUAACCGGACAAUAAUUAUACGAUGUUCCAGAUAAAUUAUUCUAUACAGAUUAUCCGAGCGCGGUUUUGCGCGCGUUAUCGAAUCGAAUCGUUUUUGAUUAACCGUUUAAACGAAAUGCUCUCGGAUCAGGAAGUUUGAUGCAUGAAAUUAAACGCGGAUGUUAACUUGCCAGUUUAUGAAAAGGAAUAUUCAAGCUGAUUAAAAAUAAAUGCAAACUAGACACGAUAUCGCCAGAUAAUGAAAAUGUUACAGAUAACAAAAUGUAAUAAUAAGAAAUUAUACUAACAAUCGAGAAAUAAAUCGGCCAAUC